CACAAGUUGGUGAAGCUGCCAGCAUGAUCUGAUGAUGAUGAUGAUCCACCUCUCUCAUCUGUGUUCUUGAUUAAUUACGGAUCAAUCGAUCAGGUCAUGCUGUAGUUUCAUCUGCUGG
rnacentral:pre_miRNA from 2 species